rnacentral:rRNA from 1 species
GGGGAAUCUUGCGCAAUGGGCGAAAGCCUGACGCAGCAACGCCGCGUGCGGGAUGAAGGCCUUCGGGUUGUAAACCGCUUUCAGCAGGGACGAAAAUGACGGUACCUGCAGAAGAAGCCCCGGCUAACUACGUGCCAGCAGCCGCGGUAAUACGUAGGGGGCAAGCGUUGUCCGGAUUUAUUGGGCGUAAAGAGCUCGUAGGCGGUUCCGUAAGUCGAGUGUGAAAAAUCUGGGCUCAACCCAGUGGAGCACUCGAUACUGCGGUGACUAGAGUACGGUAGAGGAGUGUGGAAUUCCUGGUGUAGCGGUGAAAUGCGCAGAUAUCAGGAGGAACACCAACGGCGAAGGCAGCACUCUGGGCCGGUACUGACGCUGAGGAGCGAAAGCGUGGGGAGCAUAC